ensembl:miRNA
GGUUUCGCUAUGCAGUUCAGGCUGGCCUUGAGCUCACUUUGUAGCCCAGGCUGGCCUCAAACUCGCAAAGAUCCUCCUGCCUCAGCCUCCCAAGUGCUGAGAUUACAGGCAUGCGCCACCAUGCCCG